UACGUAGGGUGCGAGCGUUAAUCGGAAUUACUGGGCGUAAAGCGUGCGCAGGCGGUUUGUUAAGACAGAUGUGAAAUCCCCGGGCUUAACCUGGGAACUGCAUUUGUGACUGGCAAGCUAGAGUAUGGCAGAGGGGGGUAGAAUUCCACGUGUAGCAGUGAAAUGCGUAGAGAUGUGGAGGAAUACCGAUGGCGAAGGCAAUCCCCUGGGCCUGCACUGACGCUCAUGCACGAAAGCGUGGGGAGCAAACAGG
rnacentral:rRNA from 1 species